UGAACGCUGGCGGCAGGCCUAAUACAUGCAAGUCGAACGGCAGCACAGCUUAAGCUUGCUUAAGUGGGUGGCGAGUGGCGGACGGGUGAGGAAUACAUGGGAAUCUGCCCAGUCGUGGGGGAUAACGUAUGGAAACGUACGCUAAUACCGCAUGCGCCCUACGGGGGAAAGCCGGGGACCUUCGGGCCUGGCGCGAUUGGAUGAGCCCAUGUUCGAUUAGCUAGUUGGCGGGGUAAAGGCCCACCAAGGCGACGAUCGAUAGCUGGUCUGAGAGGAUGAUCAGCCACACUGGGACUGAGACACGGCCCAGACUCCUACGGGAGGCAGCAGUAGGGAAUAUUGGACAAUGGGCGCAAGCCUGAUCCAGCCAUGCCGCGUGAGUGAAGAAGGCCCUCGGGUUGUAAAGCUCUUUUGUCCGGAAAGAAAAGCAUUCGGUUAAUACCCGGGUGUUCUGACGGUACCGGAAGAAUAAGCACCGGCUAACUUCGUGCCAGCAGCCGCGGUAAUACGAAGGGUGCAAGCGUUACUCGGAAUUACUGGGCGUAAAGCGUGCGUAGGUGGUUUGUUAAGUCUGAUGUGAAAGCCCUGGCUUAACCUGGGAAUGGCAUUGGAUACUGCCAGCUANAGUGUGCANANGGUANUGGAAUUCUGGUNUANCANNNAAAUGCNUANAAUCANGAAGAACAUCCUNNCNAAGGNACUNCUUNNCCACACUUNCNCUU
rnacentral:rRNA from 1 species